AGAGUUUGAUCAUGGCUCAGAAUCAACGCUGGCGGCGCGCUUAACACAUGCAAGUCGAACGAGAAAGCCCGCAAGGGUGAGUAAAGUGGCGUACGGGUGAGUAACACGUGGGUAAUCUACCUCUUGAUGGGGAAUAACCCUGGGAAACCGGGGCUAAUACCGCAUAAGCCCGAAAGGGGAAAGGUGAAAAUCGUCGAGAGAGGAGCCCGCGGCUGAUUAGCUAGUUGGUGAGGUAAAGGCUCACCAAGGCGAAGAUCGGUAGCCGGCCUGAGAGGGCACACGGCCACACUGGCACUGAAACACGGGCCAGACUCCUACGGGAGGCAGCAGUGGGGAAUCUUGCACAAUGGGGGAAACCCUGAUGCAGCGACGCCGCGUGAGCGAUGAAGCCCUUCGGGGUGUAAAGCUCUUUCGGCCCGAACGAUAAUGACGGUACGGGAAGAAGAAGCUGCGGCUAACUACGUGCCAGCAGCGGCGGUAAUUC
rnacentral:rRNA from 1 species